AUGGCUUCCCAGCCUUUUGGCUAAGGUCAAGUGUAGUAUCUGUUCUUAUAAAUUUAAUAUCUGAUACGUCUUCUAUCCGAGGACAAUAUAUUAAAUGUAUUUUUGGAGCAGGGAGAUGGAAUAGGAGCUUGCUCCAUCCACUCCACUCAUCAACUCGGUAUUGCAGUGCCUCCGGCAAUGCUGCAGAUAAA